AUUGCUGCGGUCCUACGUGGAAACCGCAGCAAUAUUAGCUGACCACCAAAAAAAUACAGGGGGGGUGUUUUCUUUUGGUAAUCGUAUUCUCUUAGUCUCUCUCUCUCCUCUCACACUCUCUCACACUCUUACCAAAAAAACCGGCGACUGGGUUUGGCGACAUUUCCGGCGAUCGGAGUGGGCGACAUUUCCGGCGAUCGGAGUGGGCGACAUUUCCGGCGAUCGCAGUGGGCGACUUUCCGGCCAUUCCUUUACUUUUUUCGAUUUGGAUCCUCCACAAAACCGGCGGUUUGUUACUCCUCAAUUCGCGUUUUGGGCGACACUCUCCACUGUUUCUCCUCCUUCACCGACGACUCCUUCACUGGCGCCACUUUUUCACCGGCGCUUCUCUCCCAACUCUGGCGCUUCUCCUCCCACCAGCGAGGGUUUGUCAUAUUAGGCCUCUUUGCUACUGACAGCUUCGCAAGGAUGGAGGAGGCUCUUGACUACCUAUCUACGUGUGUGUCAGAUGAGAUGAAUGAGGCCCUUGUUAGGGCGCUGUCUGGGAGGAGGUUAAAGAAGUGUUGUUUGCCAUGCAUCCCAACAAAGCUCCAGGUAUUGAUGGUCUCCAUGCUUUAUUUUUUCAGAAAUUUUGGCACAUUUUGGAGCCAUACAUUAUUUCUUUUGUUCAGAGUUGGUGGAGUGGGUUGGUGGAUCUCGAAGCUGUUAACAGAACUUGUAUUGUUUUAAUACCUAAAUGUGAAAACCCGCAAUCCAAAAAACAACUCGUAAACCAUCAUCUCCCUGAUCCUUAACCCUAAAAUAACCUUUCAAUGCUCCACAAAAGCCUUCAAACCUUGUAAUACCCGAAACUAUAAAAAGUUGUGUGUAAGCCUCAACAUAUAAAAAGAAUCAAUGCUAUGCAAAAAUGAAAGAAAAUAAAUUUUCAAAGUUCGUACAAAAAAAAAAAAAAACCAAAAGCAAAAGAAUCGCACAAAAUGAAAAAAGAAAA